GGGCCACCUGAACUUGACCCUCAGGGCAGAUAUCCUAGAGUUCCAAGGAAGGCCCAGGCUGGGCCAAGGAGCCACCUCCAGAACGCUGUUGUGGUGACACAGAGCACGCAGGGAAGUGGGAGAAGCUGAGAAGGUGAAGCCGCCAAUGAUGUAACUUGCAGAUCCCUGCUGGAUCAACUCAUUUCUCUGUGCAGAAGAUCAGCCACUGUUCAAGGUGUAUAGAGCCCCACUCAGGGCCAAGGAGAGGCUCCAGAAAAAUCACAAACACAAGAAUGUGUGUGAGGUACUGGAUAAAGCUGAGCAUGCUGUCCCAGGCAUGGGGCCUUCUCACCGGUUCUCUGAAGCCACCCCUUCCUUUAUGCCUUGAGGCUGCUUGCUGAUGCUAGGAGUAAAAGAAAUGACUCCUGCCCCUCUGUCUGUGUCUCUCUGUCUCUCUGUCUCUCUGUCUGUGUCCGCCCUCCCCCCCAUCCCCCAAAUCUGUCU
ensembl:lincRNA